rnacentral:misc_RNA from 1 species
CCAGAGUUCACAGGGGCGCCUGCCACUUCUUAGCGUAUGGGGAUCGGGUGUCCAGUGCUCACCCUCUCACGGGACGCCCAGUACCUGCCCAACUGUUUAUCUGUUGCAAAAUAUAAUAGUGUUUCACCAACAUUCAAUUUGUAGCUGCAAGGCUUUAUAACGCUGGUGCACAUCCAGCACUUGUGUCGUUAUGGCGCCCUAAAUCAACAAUAUUAAUAUAUACCAAGCUGAGGAUUCCUCGGGUUCCUGAUUAAGUCAAGGACAAUAUGUUGUGUGCUCUUCCCGGGGCUACUUGGCUGCCAGUUAUUGCCGAAAGUUAUUUUAUGGAGACAAUAGAAUAUUUCUGCAAAUAGACUUCAGCAAAUAAGUUGGUGACAAUGGCAGCUUGUGGUCUUGCUGAGCUGCCAGAGAUUGUGUUGGUUUAUAUUUUACGAUGGUGCAAAGCCCGAGAUUUAGUGGCUCUUAGCUCAACGUGUCAGCUCUUCUAUCAGUUGACAGCUUAUGACCUUCUUUGGAAAGACUUGUGCUGGAAAGAUUUCAGCAUUGCUCAACCUGAUCUUGGCCCCAUAGUUUCAUAUCGAAAGCUUUAUACAAACUUGUUGCACAAGUAUGGAUGUAUUCUGGGAGUAUAUCAGUCUCAAGUUGUUCCUUGUGGUGGACUUGUGGAAAUUAGGUACAAAGCUGGUUCAAUUGAGGGUGUACAGUGGGAAUCUUCACUGGAACAAAAUGUAUUCAACCCACUGAAAGAGUCCAUCAUUUUUACCAUUAUUGGCAAUGAAGAACCUCCCAAAUGUGUGUGUAUUCCCAACAUAUAUCCACACAACUGCACUUUGGAAAUUGAUAAGAGGAAGGGGAUUGUGACUCAGCAUUGUUCCAGCUCUGAAAAACAUAUAACAGAAAUUAGGGAUCAAUCUGGAUUUGAUUCAGUGGACUUUCAUCUUGAACCGAGGCACAUUUAUUUGACUUUCUUAAAUGAAGUGAUUGGAAAUGGUUUGGUUUAUAAGCCACUGAUUUUGCCGACGCCUUAUGAUAUACCGGAUGAUUUGAAGGCAAAAGAUGGCUCCUUUCCAUCCCAGAUAAUAACACCAGGACUAUUCCAAGGCUCUUAUGGAUCACAUGGUCUUGAGAUAAUUCUCUUUAGAUUUAAAGAUGAAUAUGAAAUACAUGGACACAAGGUAACAGGUGAUGUCAAUGUUCAUGCAAACAAAAUCUCUGUUAAAAUUCUGUUAAAAUACCCAGUAAGUCCUUCCAGAGAAGACCAAAGAAGUCUUUCUGUCCUGAUGAGUAUGGAGCCUACCAUGAGUAAUACUCCACUUUCUGCCAUUACUGAACAACACUUCAUUCUUCCAGAUGACUGCCAUCACAAUACUAUUACACCUAUACCUACAGUGUGCAAAGCCAGGUUUCAUGGAUUUGGCCAGAUUGCUUUUAUAUGGUUUCAGAGACCUAGUUUUACACCAGUUCAGGUAAUUGUGUUUAACAAUGAUCUGCUUGGUGUCAUUUGGUUAGAACUUAAUUCUUUCAGUCUUUAUUCACGAAUAAAGAAAACGUUUACAACCAACAUCCUUCAAGUUGAUGAGAGUGCUGUAUGAUUUAAGGUAAAGACUAAUAGUGUACUUAAAAUUUUGUAACGAUAUGCAUCAUUUUCUCAUUCCCUUCAACAAGUUCUGUAGUGCAAUAAGCUUAUAAUGGCUUUAUAACUUUCCAAUUAGAAAACUGGUUGAAAACUUCACAAAUGUAUAUUAUACGCUGAUCAAGUAUGAGUUUUGGCAUUACAGUUACACAAACUCUAUUUUAAUUUAAAUUAAUGUAGUACAAUGUAGAUCUCAAGAUAAAAACAUUUGAUGUGUCUUUGAACUUGAGUACAGAAUAGAAACUGCACACAUUCUUAAACUUGAAUCUUCUUUAAUAAAUAUCUUUACCAAAGAAAUUUAACAUUUUACUUUGUGCUGUUUCAGAAGAACCAGGUUGUAUGCUGUGUGUUUCUGGAAGGGUUCACUUGAUAGCUUCCUGAGUUAAGUGCUGUUCCAGCCAAACCUUAAGGAGAUGCACCAGGCAUCUUGAGAUCCACUCUUGCUUACUGGAAGCCAGGACCAGAACCUGGCUCUCUCUGAGGUGAAGGGAGGCUGGGGAUCUGAAAUCAACCCAAAACUGAGAAAAGAUCCACCAGAAGCAUAAAUGAAUAAGCCACUGUCAAGUACCCUUAGGUAACAAAGUAAAGAAUUGUUGCAGCCAUGUAAACACCCUAACUGGAGCAUCAGACUGCAACAGGUGUCUUCCCAGGAUCUGUUCCUGGCUCUUCCCAGGCUCUGUCCUGGUUCUUCCCAGACUCUGUCCUGGCUCUUCCCAGGCUCUGUCCUGGCUGACUUUAAGAAUUCCUAUCUUAUUCCUAUCUCCUUCUCAUUCGGUGGUUAUAAUAGGAGCUGCCUCGUAUGGGCCAAUAGGCCCUCUGCAGCUCUUAUUAUUAUUACUAUCUCCUCUACUACACCUUACUUUGCUCCUCAGCUCUCUCUUGCCUAUUUAUUGUUUGUCUCUACUUCCUCAUCACAAUCGACUUGAGAAUGGUCCAGGACGGACCAAAACGUCGUCGUCCCUUCACCUUCUAGUGUGUGGUUUGCCUUUGCAUCCCAGAUGUUGGUGGCUGUCUAGCUAGCCUGGUGAAGUGGUUGCCAGUUUCCAGGACUAUGGACUCUGGGUUUAGGGUUCUUAUGUUUGAGUCUCCUGCUGUUAAUUUUCUGGUGUCCCCCUAAGCCUUUUGGUUUCAGACAACUGUUAAUCUGUCCAUGCUCCCUGCCCUAAUUCCUCGCUGCUUAGCUGCUAUUUUGGCUGGCUUGAGGCUUGUUGUAGAUGGAUCAAGUUGAUGGAUCUCUAUGGCUCUGCCUGAAUGUUCCUUGGCUUUGCCACUGGUAUUGCAUUUGUUUAGUAUGCUAGGGGUACCUCUCUGCCAUUGGCCCCACCUCUUUAUUAUUUUCCCACUGGUAAGCCCUGGCUACAUUUUCCUGCUUACUGAUUAGCUCUUUUAAAAAAAUGCAGGCCUCUGCCAAGAGCCAUUGUCAGUUAGCUCAGGGGCUACUGAAAGGGAUCAUCCAAGAAAUCUAGCAUUGAAUGGAAAGAAAUUAUCUUUUUAGGUGGGGCACUUUGUAGCACCCUUUUCCUGCCCAGUUCCUUUCUUUGGUGUGGGGUAGUGGAGUUUUGUUUAGGCAGCUCAUGAGUGGGGAACAGACUGAUUGGGCCCCUGGAUUGUCACUUGUGGCGGUUGAACGCAUCCCGAUAAGGGUGUUUACACUACAGCACAAAUCAUUUGCCUUGUUACCUGAUGGUAAUUGUUGCACUUAUACUUUGUGUUAGGUUAUUUUAUCGAUUUUGCAUUGGUCUCUAAUUCCCAAGCUUCUUGUACAUGUAGAAAGAACCAGAUUCUGGCCUUUGCUUCCAGUAACUGUGGGUCUCAAGAGACCCAGUGCAUCUUCUUAAGGCAUGGCUGCAUCAGCACAAACCUCAAAGAGCUACAAUGUGCCUUGCCAGAAAAAAACAUUUUAUUACGUUAUGCUUGAUAAUUGUAUUUUUUUUUUUUUUUUUUUUUUUUUUUAAUUUAGCUGAUGAAAUAGUGAAUUGGUCUGAGGGUUGUCACUUUUAUCCACUAGGUGUUGAGUACAUCAAAACUGAUAACUUUAUAUAUUAAAUAUUUAUUUUCUC